UGCCUACGGGGGGCAGCAGUGAGGAAUAUUGGUCAAUGGGCUAAGGCCUGAACCAGCCAAGUCGCGUGAGGGAAGACGGUCCUAUGGAUUGUAAACCUCUUUUGUCGGGGAGCAACGAGGCCACGUGUGGCCGAAGUGAGAGUACCCGUAGAACAAGCAUCGGCUAACUCCGUGCCAGCAGCCGCGGUAAUACGGAGGAUGCGAGCGUUAUCCGGAUUUAUUGGGUUUAAAGGGUGCGCAGGCGGCACGGCAAGCCGGCGGUCAAAUCUCGGGG
rnacentral:rRNA from 1 species